AUAUGGGGCUGGCCUUUGCAGACAUCAGUAUUGUUCGGUCAGGUUUCUCCACAAGUUCAAUCACGGUGUUAUCAGGCCGAGUCACUGAGUGGUCAGAAGGGAGAUUCGGUUACUCUAUACGUGAGGCCAAUACUUCGUGGGGGAAAACUAAAUGGAGCACAUCGGUUCUCCAACUUGAUCCCAACACGUGGGUUCUUGAGUAUAACCUAAGCUCGGUGGUGGAGGGUUCGACUUUGGUGUCACUAGCAACUGAUCUUCUGGCACACAUGAUGUUCCAAGCAGCAAAGAAUGUUAACCGGGAGCUUUUCUGGAUGUUUUCAGCCUCACGGAAUCUUAUAGUGUAGUGGUAUUAGAGGGUACCACAAUGACACCAACUUAGAAGCUUAUAAGGAACAAAUGGAUUGGUUUUUUUGGUUUCUUCAUUCCAAGCAUUGACAUCUUGUCAUCUUUUAGGUCGUAUAGUCAUGAACAUAAGUUCUUGUGACUGUUACUGACUUACUGUGUAGCUGUUUCAUAUUCGAAAGAUAAUUCAUUUUUUUGGUUAAUCCAUCACUUUUACCAUUUAAAAUGUAAAUAAAUUGACAAAAGGUAUUUUAGUAUAUUCAUGGGUAUAUCAAGUGAGAUAAAGCUUAAAGGAAUCACUGAUGUAAGAAAAAGCUUAAAAGAGUCACUUCUGUAUAGAAAACACAAUGACAUUUAUAAACUUGAUAAUCUCUAGCUGAAAUUUUGUUUUAUCAUUUUUAGUAAAAUAAACAAAUGGACUCUAACCAGCUGCUUCAUAGGGAUUGGUAAGUCCACAAAAUUGUAAGAUUGCAAUCCGGCACUAAUUACUUAUUAAGAGGGUUUGAAAACGAUCUUGAAUCGGACUGUGUAUUAUGGAAUUAUCUACAACUUUCACAACUUCAAGAAUCAUGUGAAAUCUUGAUAUGUCUCCCACUAAUGGAGCGUUUUUGUCGACAAGUUUCUACAUGUCCCUACAAUGACAACAACCCUAACUCCCUAAGUGAUAGAGAUUGACACCCCCAGCCCAAGGAAAACAACCACACAUUUUGCAUUUGAUGAGAUUCCUCUUGUGAUAAAUCCAAUAAAACUAUAUGAUGAAUUCAAAAUAAUACAAAAAUAGAUAUUGAUCCCAAAAUACAUAAGAAAAUGACAACUUGUGGGCUAAAUAAUGUUGUACACUCUAUCUGACACCUUGACACCACUUCUUAUUUAUACACCAAACAAUGAUAAGGUCAUAAAGGCCCCUAGUAUUAAAAUAAUAUUUAUAAGUUCCAUACUAUUGUCCAACUAGUAUGUAGUAUCAAUAUUUGUUUGUAUAAAUAUUCAUGAGUGAUGUUGUGUGACUUGUCACUCACCCAGAUCCCAGUUUUGACAGGGGGUAACAUCGAUAUAGAUUGAUAAAAUCUAAGUAUCGCUGUUGGUUAAAGAAAGUUGCCAUGUAUAGAUUUCUCAAGUAGUAUUCAAUGAUAUUAUUCGGUUAUUUGGGCUUUUGGAAAUUCUAUUGAACUUAACCAAAGUUUUAUAUCAGUUAGAUUUUAGUUUAGCUUAUUUAAAAAAAAUUGGAUAAAUUCAGUUAAAUUAGGUUAAUUUUAGUUAGUUCGGUUCCAAAUUUAGUUAGUUUGGUUAGUUUGAUUCGGAUUUUUGGUAAGGUUUGAUUAUAACUUUUGGAGGUAAAAGUAGAAAACCAAAGUAAUUAAUUGAUUGUCAGCUUAAACCGGAAACCAAAUUGAACAAAAAAUUACCGAAUCAAAUCAAAUUCUAGAACCAAAUUGAACGAAAGCCGAAAAUUUUGGCAAGUUCAAAAAAAAAUCUCAGCAUAGUGACAAGCAUCACGAUUUAA